rnacentral:rRNA from 1 species
AACACAUGCAAGUCGAGCGGUAAGGCCCUUCGGGGUACACGAGCGGCGAACGGGUGAGUAACACGUGGGUGAUCUGCCCUGCACUUCGGGAUAAGCCUGGGAAACUGGGUCUAAUACCGGAUAUGACCAAAGGCUGCAUGGUUUUUGGUGGAAAGGUUUACUGGUGCAGGAUGGGCCCGCGGCCUAUCAGCUUGUUGGUGGGGUAAUGGCCUACCAAGGCGACGACGGGUAGCCGACCUGAGAGGGUGACCGGCCACACUGGGACUGAGACACGGCCCAGACUCCUACGGGAGGCAGCAGUGGGGAAUAUUGCACAAUGGGCGAAAGCCUGAUGCAGCGACGCCGCGUGAGGGAUGACGGCCUUCGGGUUGUAAACCUCUUUCAGCAGGGACGAAGCGAAAGUGACGGUACCUGCAGAAGAAGCACCGGCCAACUACGUGCCAGCAGCCGCGGUAAUACGUAGGGUGCAAGCGUUGUCCGGAAUUACUGGGCGUAAAGAGCUCGUAGGCGGUUUGUCGCGUCGUCUGUGAAAACUCGAGGCUCAACCUCGAGCUUGCAGGCGAUACGGGCAGACUUGAGUACUGCAGGGGAGACCGGAAUUCCUGGUGUAGCGGUGAAAUGCGCAGAUAUCAGGAGGAACACCGGUGGCGAAGGCGGGUCUCUGGGCAGUAACUGACGCUGAGGAGCG